AGAACGAACGCUGGCGGCAUGCCUAACACAUGCAAGUCGAACGAUCUCUUCGGAGAUAGUGGCGCACGGGUGCGUAACGCGUGGGAAUCUGCCCUUGGGUUCGGAAUAACAGUUGGAAACGACUGCUAAUACCGGAUGAUGACGUUAAGUCCAAAGAUUUAUCGCCCAGGGAUGAGCCCGCGUAGGAUUAGCUAGUUGGUGAGGUAAAGGCUCACCAAGGCGACGAUCCUUAGCUGGUCUGAGAGGAUGAUCAGCCACACUGGGACUGAGACACGGCCCAGACUCCUACGGGAGGCAGCAGUGGGAAUAUUGGACAAUGGGCGAAAGCCUAGAUCCAGCAAUGCCGCGUGAGUGAUGAAGGCCGUUAAGGGUUGUAAAGCUUCGUUUACCCGGAUGAUAAUGACAGUACCGGAGAAUAAGCUCGGCUAACUCCGUGCCAGCAGCCGAC
rnacentral:rRNA from 1 species